rnacentral:rRNA from 1 species
CAGUCGUACCUUCGGGUAAUCAGCCUUUCGGGUGCGAUUCUGUGGAGUUUGAGGAGCUUAACACCUUCAUGCUUUGCAUAUUCGUGCUCUUGGGUGUACUUGCCCGUGUGGUUGGUUAACAUCAGUUUCGAUUACUAUAAAAUGACUGGCGGAAUGUAGCUUCGAUUUCGGUUGAAGUGUUAUAGCCUCUGGUAGAUGUGGUGAUUGGGACUGAGGAUUGCAACGAAUAUCCUUUGGGCUUAUCCGCCUGGCCUCUGAAAGUUGCUUAGGUGCUGAAAGUUUGCUUAUGGUUAUCUAAGCUAACGGUUAAUAGGUUAGAACGUGAUUACA